AGGGCACAUGGCGGAUGCCUUGGCUCUCGGAGGCGAUGAAGGACGUGAUAAGCUGCGAUAAGCUGCGGGUAGGUGCAAAUGACCUUUGAUCCGCGGAUUUCCGAAUGGGACAACCCGAUACUUUGAAGAAGUAUCAUCCUGCAUUGCAGGAGGCUAACGCAGGGAACUGAAACAUCUUAGUACCUGCAGGAAAAGAAAAUAAACAAUGAUUCCCCCAGUAGUGGCGAGCGAACGGGGAAUAGCCCAAACCAUCCAUGUUACGGCAUGGGUGGGGUUGUAGGACCACGCCGUGGCAAGAAAGUUGGUGAGCAGAAUGUUCUGGAAAGUACAGCCAUAGAGCAUGACAGCUGCGUAUGCGAAGCCAACCGAAGCCUAGUGGUAUCCUGAGUAGCGCGGAGCACGAGGAAUUCUGCGUGAAUCUGCCGGGACCAUCCGGUAAGGCUAAAUACUCCCGAGAGACCGAUAGUGAACCAGUACUGUGAAGGAAAGGUGAAAAGCACUUCGAACAGAAGAGUGAAAUAGUUCCUGAAACCAUGUGCCUACAAGCGGUCGGAGCACCUUCUGGUGUGACGGCGUGCCUUUUGCAUAAUGAACCUACGAGUUACUUUUUCCGGCGAGGUUAAGGAUUUCAGAUCUGCAGCCGAAGCGAAAGCGAGUCUGAACAGGGCGUAUAGUCGGAAGGAGUAGACGCGAAACCAAGUGAUCUACCCUUGGGCAGGUUGAAGGAUGGGUAACACCAUCUGGAGGACCGAACCAAUAAGCGUUGAAAAGCUUCUGGAUGACCUGAGGGUGGGGGUGAAAGGCUAAUCAAACUUGGAGAUAGCUCGUACUCCCCGAAAUGCAUUUAGGUGCAGCCUUGACUUAUACUGGCAUGAGGUAGAGCGACUGAUAAGAUGCGAGGGCUUCACCGCCUAUCAAGUCUUGACAAACUCCGAAUGCGUGUCAGUUCUAUGUCAGGAGUGAGGGCAUGGGUGCUAAGGUCCAUGUCCUAAAGGAGAACAAUCCGGACCAACAGCUAAGGUCCCGAAAUGAAUACUAAGUUGAACUAACGAAGUCAGAUUGCUAAGACAGCUAGGAUGUUGGCUUGGAAGCAGCCAUUCAUUUAAAGAGUGCGUAACAGCUCACUAGUCGAGGAGUUUGGCGUGGAUAAUAAUCGGGCAUAAGUAUUCUACCGAAGCUUUGGGAUGAGAAAUCAUCGGUAGGGGAGCAUUCCACUCUGCGUCGAAGGUGAAGCGCGAGCUUUGCUGGAGCGUGUGGAAAAGCAAAUGUAGGUAUAAGUAACGAUAAAGGGGGUGGGAAACCCCCUCGCCGAAAGACUAAGGUUUCCUGAUCAACGCUAAUCGGAUCAGGGUAAGUCGGGUCCUAAGGCUCAGCCGAACGGCGAGGCCGAUGGCAGAACCGGUUAAUAUUCCGGUACUACCUGUGGGAGUGACGUGGAGACGGAGUCGUGACAGCGCCGCGGACUGACGGAAUAGUCCGUUGAAGGGUGUAGAUGCUGAUUGUUCCAGGCAAAUCCGGAGCAAGAGUCGAACCUGAUAGUAUGGAGCGUUCUUAGAACAAUCCAAUAGUGCGUGUAAUCAUACUUCCAAGAAAAUCCGCUAAACUUAAUCCUGCAGGUACCCGUACCGCAAACGGACACACGUAGUCGGGUUGAAUAUACUAAGGCGCUUGAGUGAUUCACGGUUAAGGAACUAGGCAAACUGACCCUGUAACUUCGGGAUAAAGGGUCCUCAAGCAAUUGAGGCGCAGAGAAUAGGUCCAGGCAACUGUUUAACAAAAACACAGGGCUGUGCAAAAUUGAAAGAUGAAGUAUACAGCCUGACACCUGCCCGGUGCUGGAAGGUUAAGAGGAGAUGUCAUCGCAAGAGAAGCAUUGAAUUGAAGCCCCAGUAAACGGCGGCCGUAACUAUAACGGUCCUAAGGUAGCGAAAUUCCUUGUCGGGUAAGUUCCGACCUGCACGAAUGGUGUAAUGAUCUGGACGCUGUCUCAACCGUGAGCUCAGUGAAAUUGUAGUAUCGGUGAAGAUGCCGAUUACCCGCGAUGGGACGAAAAGACCCCGUGAACCUUUACUAUAGCUUAACAUUGAAUUUGGGUAAUUGAUGUGUAGGAUAGGCCGGAGGCUUUGAAGCGGGCACGCCAGUGUCCGUGGAGCCGCUGUUGAAAUACGGCCCUUUGAUUAUUUGAGUUCUAACCCGUUGUUGCGGGGACACUGUUUGGUGGGUAGUUUGACUGGGGUGGUCGCCUCCAAAAGUGUAACGGAGGCUUCUAAAGGUGCCCUCACGACGAUUGGUAACCGUCGGCAGAGUGUAAUGGCAUAAGGGCGCUUGACUGGGAGACUUACAAGUCGAUCAGGUAGGACCUAGAGCAUAGUGAUCCGGUGUUUCUGUAUGGAAAGGACAUCGCUCAAAGGAUAAAAGGUACUCCGGGGAUAACAGGCUGAUCCCUCCCAAGAGCUCAUAUCGACGGAGGGGUUUGGCACCUCGAUGUCGGCUCGUCACAUCCUGGGGCUGGAGAAGGUUCCCAAGGGUUGGGCUGUUCGCCCAUAAAGGUGGCACGCGAGCUGG
rnacentral:rRNA from 1 species